rnacentral:misc_RNA from 1 species
GAUGAAGAACGUAGUGAAAUGCGAUAGGUAAUGUGAAUUGCAGAAUUCAGUGAAUCAUCGAAUCUUUGAACGCACAUUGCGCCCUUUGGUAUUCCUUAGGGCAUACCUGUUCGAGCGUCACUACACACCUUAUCACAAUAUUUGUGGUCUUGGCAGGAGUGAAUUGCUGGUCUAUGGAAGUAUUCCAGCAGUACACAAUGCUAAAAAAUAUGGGAAGGUUACCAGAUAUGAACAACAGACUUUGUAAAUGGUUGUAGGACCUAGAUCAGUCACAAGUCAUGUCUGGUCCCUUACCUUAAGGACCCCCAUCCUAGAUGAACUAUGGGUUGACCUCGGAUCAGGUAGGAAUACCCGCUGAACUUAAGCAUAUCAAUAAGCGGAGGA